UGGCAGCGGAGAAGGUUGGAGGAAGAAGAGAAGUCUCUGAGUUCGGUACGGGGAGAAAACGGUGGAGGAAGAAGAAGAAGUAGGAGGAGGAGGAGGAGCGUAGUCGCAUAAUUCAGAAUCGACAAAGCGGCAGAUUAUGGAAAUAGAGUCCCUGAGUCGGAGACAGAGUUCUCUCUCUUUAGAUCGAGCCCUCUCUGUCUAUCCAACUUCUUCUCCUCCACCUACGAACCUCCAUCUCUCUCUUUUGCUCGCGUUGCUCGUGUUGGAAGCCGUAUGGUGUUGCCAUGACGACCAUUGUGCCACACUCUCUUCCACCUCCACCUUCACUCCACCUUCUCGGGCCCCCCUCUACUUCCUCCACCUACUCACUCGUCAAGCUCCAACACAGCGCCUCCACCAACGAACCUUUCCCCCUCUCCUGCCAGCGACUACAGCGCCACCGUUCCCGCCCCCCUCUUAGCCACCCAACAACCGAUCCAGCAACCCCACCGUGUGUACCUCAUCUCUCUAACGACUUGUUGUUAAUGUUGUAUCAACUCACCCUGUAAACAGCCUCUUUCUCUCUCCCUCCAGUUUCUUCUGUUUCUCUCUCUGUCUUGCUUUUAGAGUAUCUCUUACCCUUUCUGUUGUGUCUUCCCCCGUUUCUCUACGUCUUGCUCUCCUUCAACCCUGCCCUUCCUAUUCCACUCUCUCGUCCCGCUGUCUGUAAACCAACCAGCCGGUUGUGCGCGCUCGCUCACCAGCAAGUUGAGCGUGUGCACGAGCAAAGGUGCCGCGGGGGUGGACUUUUUAGGAGGCGUAACUGGUGUUCGAAUUUUUCAGGCGUCAGGUUCUUCUGCCUCUCCAGAAGUUUUCGGGUGUUUUUGUAGUUUCAUUAUUCCGUUACGAAGCAAGCUUCUCUUCUUUUUGGUACACUGAGCUGCUCCCUGUUUCCGGAAACGGAGGGCAGACGCAGGACUAUUUGGAAGCGUAACUAAAGUGCUCUAUCGGUGGAGGUAUUUAAGGUGCUCUGGAUAUCCGAAAGAUGCUGAAGUUUGGCGCCUUCUAUUUCUGAUUCUUAUACUGCUUACUAAUAUGUAGACUGUUCAUGUAAAUUCGUGUUUUUGUAAGUGGAAAUAAAUGUACAUCGCAAAUAUGUAUGUAAUUCCUUUUCAGUUGAAACUGUAUUUAAUAAUCAUUUAAAAUUUGGAAUUUGUAUUAAAAUUUCAUGAAUGAGGCUAGUAUUAUAUUGUUCUAAAUUAUAGUUAUCGUAGAUUACGUCAUUUCAUGCAGAAUAAUUUGUCAAGGGGUCAGGAGGAUAGGAAACGCCGAUUCCGCAUGAUUCUGCGCCAUGACAAAAAGAAGACAGACUCGCUGGUUCCUGCAACCGGUCUUCCGGAAAAACAUCGUUUACCGGCAUGACGUCGUCGAAGAGACUUCGAUUACCAAUUACGCAUGUGCGCUUCGACUAUUUGCAGCUGGGGGAAUAAAAAAUGGGAACGCGGUCAUACAUCGAGUCCGAUCCGGAUGAAUGUAAUCGCGCCAGUAUAAGUCGACAAUGAGCGCAGUUAGCGUACACGGUGUAUCAGGUACAUAAGCGGAAACGAAGACAGAGUCGAAGACAAACGGCGAAUAGCGAGAAAGAGAGAAGAAAGGGAGAAAGACGCGUAACGGCGGCGUCGUCGGCGUUACAUUAUAUAAUGACACAGAACGGAUUAAUCCUAGCGGCGGCGUCGCGGCGGCAACUCGGCCAGCAUAAUAGAUAUGCUCUUUCUUUGUUUCGUCCGCUCAUAAUGGCCGCGCCUCGCAAGAAAACGCGGAACACGGAGCAUUAUGCACUCCGCCGAGACGAACGAGAAUAAACCGAGUCUGAAUAGCUUUCUGAGUUUGUUUCCUUUCCUAUUCCCCCACCGUUCCUUUCUUUCUUUUCUCUCCUUUCUCAGCGUUCUUUCUUUUCUUUUCUCCUCUGUCCCGCACUCCACCUUUCUUCUUCCACCCACCCCCUUUCACUAUCCCCCAUUUUACGGAAGAUGCACAGCAGCUUGAUUUCGUAUUUGCGAUCUCUGUUUGGUCUGACCGAUAAGUUUUUGAAAUUGGGGUAGACUGAUCUUUCUGCCUGAAGUUGUGCCUGGUGAGUAAUUGCGGAGAUAUUCGAUGCUAUUGGUUUGAUUUGGCACGUUUGAUCUAUUUAUAUCUGUCAUGCAAUAGGUAGAAAACCUGCAGACAGAUUCCAAACACGAUCCAAAUCAGUGAGUCUUUUGGAUACACUGGUAGAAUUUUCGUACCAUUUUUAUUUCGUAAUUGUAUGAUAAAUACCUGUAUG